CAGGGGUCAUGUCUCGCCAGGAAGGCUCUGAUUUACGUCACACCUGUCCGUCAUCACCGGCAGUAUAAAGGAUGAGGGUGCCGUACCGGUGUUGAUAUCUCAUUUGCACAGAGACUGACUGGUGAGUGCGGCUCUUUUUUCACCCCUCUGCAACGGCUAGCCAAAUAAAGAGGAGCAUCGCAAAAUGUCUGGAGUAACUGUCUGCCAACUCGGAGUGUUUCUCCUCUUUCUGUGUUUGUCAGCACAGGUCGUCGCGCAGACGACACCUACGGAGAUGCCGGUGGCUACAACUACCAACUAUACUAUGACUAUGAACGCCUCUGCCGUCACACACAGUUACACCAACGUGACCACGCCUAAAUCUGCCGUGAGCCCACUAAACCCAACCGGCGUGUCCCUGCUCCUUAUCGUCGCCAUGGUUACGUCUAUGCUGCAACGUUUCUUGUAAUGUCACACUUUCUACGUCCCCGCGCACACCUUUCGUAAAACAGAAGAUGCAAUAUUGUACUGAAACUCAGCUGCAAAUUCCUGAAGUUGGUUCAUUAAGGUCGACGAAGUUGCUUAUAAACGGACUCCGGACUCCCGAAUAUAAAUUGAAGGAUCUCUCCCCUGACUUGGACUACGGUCUACACCAUAGGGAUGGGCGCAAGUCAUUUGUUUUGGGCCGGUUUUCAAAUGUUUUUGCCGUUUUUGGAAACUGUUGGUAAAUGCUUAAAGUUUCGUUUGUUCCAAAGCUGUCAGUCGUGCUUGUGGGGGCUUUUCUGCUGUAAAAAAAAAAAAGGCUGUGAGUGUGCCACUGCUUUACAUGUGGGAGGGGCUGAGGGUAUGCUUCUUUGUAAACAAUAGUUUAUAUUUUGUACGAAAUGCAAAACUUGUUUUAAUUGUUAGUUGGAUUAAAAGAAGUUGUAAUUAGAAUGGUCAAUAAAUGGAAGGAAAAAUA